rnacentral:sRNA from 1 species
UUGGGAGCUCACUGGCUUCGGGUUCCAUCGGAACUCCGAAGUUAAGCAAGUAGCACGUGAGAGCACUCCCAUGAUGGGUGACCCACUGGGAAGUUGCUCGUGAGUUCCCAAAAACAAAACCGUGAGGGAAUGGUAAGCCCAAAGCGGACAAUAUCGUGUUAUGGUAGUGGAGCAGGCCCGGGAAGUGAUCCGCCCCGGGCCGGGAUGUGACAAAUUGGUAUCAGAGCCUAACCCUGGCCGCGAGUGUGCUGACGAGGACGUCAGGCCCCUAAGGGGGGUGGAUUGUAACAUCCCACAUUGCCCAGGGGAGUGAUCCUUAAAUGUAUAUUCUCAUCCCUACUUAGCACGAGGCCUUUUGGGAGCUCACUGGCUUCGGGUUCCAUCGGAACUCCGAAGUUAAGCGAGUAGCACGCGAGAGCACUCCCAUGAUGGGUGACCCACUGGGAAGUUGCUCGUGAGUUCCCAAAAACAAAACCGUGAGGGAAUGGUAAGCCCAAAGCGGACAAUAUCGUGUUAUGGUAGUGGAGCAGGCCCGGGAAGUGAUCCGCCCCGGGCCGGGAUGUGACAAAUUGGUAUCAGAGCCUAACCCUGGCCGCGAGUGUGCUGACGAGGACGUCAGGCCCCUAAGGGGGGUGGAUUGUAACAUCCCACAUUGCCCAGGGGAGUGAUCCUUAAAUGUAUAUUCUCAUCCCUACUUAGCACGAGGCCUUUUGGGAGCUCACUGGCUUUGGGUUCCAUCGGAACUCCGAAGUUAAGCGAGUAGCACGCGAGAGCACUUCCAUGAUGGGUGACCCACUGGGAAGUUGCUCGUGAGUUCCCAAA